UGUCAAUGCUUUUUUAAAUGCUUUUCCCCUUGUCUCCUCAUCUCCUUGUUUCCUCUCCAUGUCUGCUCUCCUCCAGGGGAGGACUCUUGGUGGCGGGGACCUUUAACUCCCGGCGCAGCGGUCCGUGGUCGGAGCGCAUCGUUGAAAUUUGGUGUUGCAACUGUAACUGUAACAAUCGCCAUCGUGGGGAUGUUUCGUACGUACGGGGCAGUCGUGGCGGGCAGCGGCAUGCAGCGGACCCAGAGGGGCGCCUCCACUGACCUGUACUGACCUGUUCAACGCCUGGUGCAAAGGUGUCAACACUCAUCCCAUCCCCCACCCCUUCGACAGCAACAGAUUCUCCUCAUCACCUUCAGGAGGAGUUAAAGACUACAGAGAGACACACAGCACAAGUAUUUUUACUGCAGUUAAAGUACUAAUA